CAGGGAGACAACAAAAUGUUUAAUAUUAUAAUUUUGCCACCUUAGGUCGAUCGGUAUCUCACGUUCUUAAUUUAUUAAGAAUUUCAUUUUCUAAGUUUUUUCUAGGUCACACCCAUUACUUUUCCUGGGCCAUUAGCUCAGGUGGUUAGAGCGCACCCCUGAUAAGGGUGAGGUCCCUGGUUCAAGUCCAGGAUGGCCCAUUCGUUGUUGGGGGUAUAGCUCAGUUGGUAGAGCGCCUGCUUUGCAAGCAGGAUGUCAGCGGUUCGAGUCCGCUUACCUCCACUGAAAACUAUCCUGAUAACUAAAUUCCGGAGAAAAAUUUUUAGAUGUGAUUUAGAAAUGUCUAUUUGAAAAGAACCUAGCUUCUUAUCAUCUUUUUAUAGUUGAUAAAAUGCUGGGCUCACGUGGAUUUAUUCCAUGAGAAUUCAGUAGAACCUUGAAAACUGCAUAGAUUAGAAAGAAUAAAGCAUCUCAUGGAUGCAUAAUUCUGUUUUAGUAAUUUAGCUUGAAAACUAAAUUACAUAGAUAUGAAUUCAUGUUUAAUUCUUGAGUAAUAGCCGAGCACAAUUGAUUUUGUGAUUGUAUUUAA
rnacentral:tRNA from 1 species